UACGAAGGGGGCUAGCGUUGUUCGGAAUUACUGGGCGUAAAGCGCACGUAGGCGGAUUUGCCAGUCAGGGGUGAAAUCCCGGGGCUCAACCUCGGAACUGCCUCUGAUACAGCAAGUCUUGAGUCCGGAAGAGGUGGGUGGAAUUCCUAGUGUAGAGGUGAAAUUCGUAGAUAUUAGGAAGAACACCAGUGGCGAAGGCGGCCCACUGGUCCGGUACUGACGCUGAGGCGCGAAAGCGUGGGGAGCAAACAGG
rnacentral:rRNA from 1 species